rnacentral:rRNA from 1 species
CCUACGGGGUGCAGCAGUGGGGAAUAUUGGGCAAUGGAGGCAACUCUGACCCAGCAACGCCGCGUGAAUGAUGAAGGUCUUCGGAUUGUAAAGUUCUGUGAUGGGGGAUGAACACAAUGACGGUACCCCAAUAGCAAGCCACGGCUAACUACGUGCCAGCAGCCGCGGUAAUACGUAGGUGGCAAGCGUUAUCCGGAAUGACUGGGCGUAAAGGGAGUGUAGACGGCUUGUCAAGUUAAGUGUGAAAGCCUGCGGCUUAACCGCAGAAUUGCACUUAAAACUGACUCGCUAGAGUGCAGGAGAGGUGAGUGGAAUUCCUAGUGUAGCGGUGGAAUGCGUAGAUAUUAGGAGGAACACCAGAGGCGAAGGCGGCUCACUGGACUGUAACUGACGUUGAGGCUCGAAAGCGUGGGUAGCAAACAGGAUUAGAUACCCUGGUAGUC